AUCACUUCCGACCUAUUGUCUAAGAUCAAGUGCAGUGUAGGUUCUUAUCAGUUUAAUAUCUGAUACUUACCCUAUCCGGGGACCAUAUAGUACAUGGAUUUUUCAGUGCGUGGGCCAAUGUGGAAGCUUGCUUCCAUCGCCCCAUGCAUUGACCCGCUAUGGUGGUAUCUUCGAGAGUACAGUACACCAAAA